rnacentral:rRNA from 1 species
UACGGGGGGGGCAAGCGUUGUUCGGAAUUACUGGGCGUAAAGGGCUCGUAGGCGGCCAACUAAGUCAAACGUGAAAUCCCUCGGCUUAACCGGGGAACUGCGUCUGAUACUGGAUGGCUUGAGUGUGGGAGAGGGAUGCGGAAUUCCAGGUGUAGCGGUGAAAUGCGUAGAUAUCUGGAGGAACACCGGUGGCGAAGGCGGCAUCCUGGACCAUUACUGACACUGAAAAGCGAAAGCCAGGGGAGCAAACGGG